GAUGAACGCUGGCGGCGUGCCUAAUACAUGCAAGUCGAGCGAACACAUGAUGAGCUUGCUCCUUUGACGUUAGCGGCUGACGGGUGAGUAACACGUGCAUAACCUUCCUAUUAUACUGGGAUAAUUUCGGGAAACCGGUUCUAAUACUGGAUAAUAUAUUCAACCGCAUAGUUCAAUAGUUCAUCACGGUUUUCCUGUUACUUAUAGAUGGAUUCGCGCCGCAUUAGCUAGUUGGUAAGGUAACGGCUUACCAAGGCAACGAUGCGUAGCCGACCUGAGAGGAUGAUCGGCCACACUGGAACUGAGACACGGUCCAGACUCCUACGGGAGGCAGCAGUAGGGAAUAUUGCGCAAAGGGCGAAAGCCUGAUGGAGCAACGCCGCGUGAGUGAAGAAGGUCUUCGGAUCGUAAAACUCUGUUAUUAGGGAAGAAAAAAAGUGUAAGUAAAUCUGCACGUCUUGACGGUACCUAAAGAGAAAGCCACGGCUAACUACGUG
rnacentral:rRNA from 1 species